rnacentral:rRNA from 1 species
AGGUGAACCUGCGGAGGGAUCAUUACCGAGUUUACAACUCCCAAACCCCUGUGAACAUACCUAUACGUUGCCUCGGCGGAUCAGCCCGCGCCCCGYAWWWAGGGACGGCCCGCCCGAGGACCCCUAAACUCUGUUUUUAGUGGAACUUCUGAGUAAAACAAACAAAUAAAUCAAAACUUUCAACAACGGAUCUCUUGGUUCUGGCAUCGAUGAAGAACGCAGCAAAAUGCGAUAAGUAAUGUGAAUUGCAGAAUUCAGUGAAUCAUCGAAUCUUUGAACGCACAUUGCGCCCGCCAGUAUUCUGGCGGGCAUGCCUGUUCGAGCGUCAUUUCAACCCUCAAGCUCAGCUUGGUGUUGGGACUCGCGGUAACCCGCGUUCCCCAAAUCGAUUGGCGGUCACGUCGAGCUUCCAUAGCGUAGUAAUCAUACACCUCGUUAMWGGUAAUCGUCGCGGCCACGCCGUAAAACCCCAACUUCUGAAUGUUGACCUCGGAUCAGGUAGGAAUACCCGCUGAACUUAAGCAUAUCAAUAAGCGGAGGAAU